rnacentral:rRNA from 1 species
UACGUAGGAUGCGAGCGUUAUCCGGAUUUAUUGGGUUUAAAGGGUGCGUAGGCGGACGCUUAAGUCAGCGGUAAAAUUGCGGGGCUCAACCUCGUCGAGCCGUUGAAACUGGGUGCCUCGAGUGGGCGAGAAGUACGCGGAAUGCGUGGUGUAGCGGUGAAAUGCAUAGAUAUCACGCAGAACUCCGAUUGCGAAGGCAGCGUACCGGCGCCCAACUGACGCUGAAGCACGAAGGCGUGGGUAUCGAACAGG